UCUCAUACAGGAAACACAUGUGUUAAGGAGAAACCAUCAAAUAUUGGUUGUGUUGAAAAUGUCCUGUCGAUGACCUAACUAGUUCAUUUAGUCUGUCUGCUUCAUCUGGUCCUGAACACAUGUGUUUGUUCUGUUCCAUUUCAGUCACCACCUCUUCUUUUUCUUUGGUUUAAUGUAGAAAGAAGACAAAGGUGGAUUUGCAGAGAAACCUAACAGUUGUUAUCAGUGAAAUGUGACUUUUUUCGAUUUGAUGUGUUAUCAUGUGCAGCACUGGGUGUUUCUGAAGUCAGAUUAAAACAUAGACUCGCUUACAUUUAGUUUCUUGCAUUUGUUUGACUGUUUUCCAACAGGUUAUGGUGAUGAAGGAGUGGGAAAUGUGUGUAUCCCAGAUUCCAGUGUGGAGUUGAAUGUUGACAUGUGUCCUCCACACAGCACUGGGAGGAUGACUCUAUGUUUGUGUGAAGGUUGGAGUUCUCCUCAUCCUUCUGCUGUUGGAUCAUAGACUGUCAACAACAUGGACUCCAUAGACUUGGACUGAACUC